CUACGGGUCGCACCAGUGGGGAAUAUUGGGCAAUGGAGGAAACUCUGACCCAGCAAUACCGCGUGGAGGAUGACGGAUUUCGGUUUGUAAACUCCUUUUAACUGAGAAGAUAAUGACGGUAUCAGUUGAAUAAGCACCGGCUAACUCCGUGCCAGCAGCCGUGGUAAUACGGAGGGUGCAAGCAUUACUCGGAAUCACUGGGCGUAAAGAGCGCGUAGGCGGCCCAUUAAGUCUUGUGUGAAAUCUUACGGCUUAACCGUAAAACUGCAUGGGAAACUGAUGGACUAGAGUACGGAAGAGGUAGGUGGAAUUCUCGGUGUAGGGGUAAAAUCCGUAGAUAUCGAGAGGAAUACCCAAUGCGAAGGCAACCUACUGGGACGUUACUGACGCUGAGGCGCGAAAGCGUGGGGAGCAAACAGGAUUAGAUACCCGCGUAGUC
rnacentral:rRNA from 1 species